UGCAAGUCGAGCGGACAGAAGAGGACUUGCUCCUUUGACGUUAGGGCGGACGGGUGAGUAACACGUGGGCAUGCUACCCUAUGUUUGGGAUAACUCCGGGAAACCGGGGCUAAUACCGACUAAUCUCUUUUGCUUCCUGGGGACCGACUGAAAGACGGUUUCGGGUGUCGCUAUAGGAUGGGCCCGCGGCGGAUUAGCUAGUUGGCGACGUAACGGCUCACCAAGGCGACGAUGCAUAGCCGACCUGACAGGGUGAUCGGUCACACUGGGACUGAAACCCGGCCCAAACUCCUACGGGAGGAUUUUGUACGGAAUCUUCCACAAUGGGCCAAAGCCUGAUGGAGCGACGCCACGGGAGUGAAGAAGGUUUUCGGAUCUGACAACUCUGAUGUCCUGGAAUAACAAGUACACUAGUAACUGGCUGUACCUUGAAGGAACCUUAUUAUAAAUCCACGGCUAACUACGUGCCAGCACCCGCGGUAAUACGUAGGUGGCAAGUGUUGGCCGGAAUUAUUGGGCGUAAAGCGCGCGCAGGAGGUCCUUUAAGUCUGAUGUGACAGCCCACGGCUCAACCGUGGAGGUGCAUUGGAAACUGGUGGACUUGAGUGCAGAAGAUGAACGUGGAAUUCCAAGUGUGCGCGGAGAUAUGCGUAGAGA
rnacentral:rRNA from 1 species